GCGGGUAUAGUUCAAUUGGAUAGAGCAUCAGCUUACGAAGCUGAGAAUCAGGGUUCGAAUCCUUGUACCUGCGCCA
rnacentral:tRNA from 3 species